rnacentral:misc_RNA from 1 species
GCAAACUUGGUCAUUUAGAGGAAGUAAAAGUCGUAACAAGGUUUCCGUAGGUGAACCUGCGGAAGGAUCAUUAUCGAGAGUUGGGCUUCGGCCCGCACCCUCCACCCUUCAUGUGUACCUGCUCUGUUGCUUUGGCGGGACGUCGAGUCCGCUCGCCGGCGGCCCCUUCGCGGGGGUUGUCGAGCGCCCGCCAGAGACCUUUGCAAACUCUGUUCAAGCUUGGUCUUUGCAGGCCCUCUGGGCCGAUUUGAAAAAUGAAUCAAAACUUUCAACAACGGAUCUCUUGGUUCCGGCAUCGAUGAAGAACGCAGC